rnacentral:rRNA from 1 species
AUACGUAGGUGGCAAGCGUUGUCCGGAUUUACUGGGCGUAAAGAGUAUGUAGGCGGAUAUUUAAGUCAGAUGUGAAAUUCCCGGGCUUAACCUGGGAGCUGCAUUUGAUACUGGAUAUCUAGAGUGCGGAAGAGGUAAGUGGAAUUCCGAGUGUAGAGGUGAAAUUCGUAGAUAUUCGGAGGAACACCAGUGGCGAAGGCGGCUUACUGGUCCAUUACUGACGCUGAGGUGCAAAAGCGUGGGGAGC